rnacentral:rRNA from 1 species
UACGUAGGGUGCGAGCGUUAAUCGGAAUUACUGGGCGUAAAGCGUGCGUAGGCGGUUCGUUGUGUCUGUGGUGAAAGCCCCGGGCUUAACCUGGGAAUGGCCAUGGAAACUGGCGAGCUGGAGUGUGGCAGAGGGGGGUGGAAUUCCGCGUGUAGCAGUGAAAUGCGUAGAGAUGCGGAGGAACACCGAUGGCGAAGGCAGCCCCCUGGGCUAACACUGACGCUGAGGCGCGAAAGCGUGGGGAGCAAACAGG